UGAAUCGUGCAGUAUGUAGGCCGGCUU
rnacentral:sRNA from 1 species